CAGUCGCCGCGGGAAUACGUAGGCGGCAAGCGUUGUCCGGAAUUAUUGGGCGUAAAGGGAGCGCAGGUGGGACGGUAAGUCCGUCUUAAAAGGCAGGGGCUCAGCCCCUGUAAGGGAUGGAAACUAUCGAUCUUGAGUGCCGGAGAGGAAAGCGGAAUUCCCAGUGUAGCGGUGAAAUGCGUAGAUAUUGGGAAGAACACCAGUGGCGAAGGCGGCUUUCUGGACGGCAACUGACACUGAGGCUCGAAAGCCAGGGGAGCGAACGGGAUUAGAUACCCCUGUAGUCCCUGUCUCUUAUACC
rnacentral:rRNA from 1 species